CUCCUGGAUGAAGGCCUUUUAUUGAGGAGCAUUUUGUAGCUAGAGACCCUAUCCUGAGUUGGUAAGUGCAGCCUUGGUUGUAGGUUAACUCCUCAUUUCAAAUUUCAAGAUGAAGAGAAUAGCAGACAAGCUAUGGGAAGGGUGCUCUGCAACCUCGGAUUUGAAGCCUAGAAAAGGAAGUCUCUGGACCUGAUAAAGCUGUUACUUUUGAAAACAAGCUUAAGUCAACAGGGUUAAACAACCCCUACGGGGCCUGCCUAACCAAUUCUGUGUAACCAAUCCUUAUAUCUCCAAUGUGAAUACAUCUUUCUCACAGAUGGAUAACAGGUGCUCAGCUGUUGGAAAGGACAAGGAUUCAUGGGCCUGGAAGGUUCAGUGCUUUUGCAAUAUGUUCCCACUGAACUUGAUCAUCUGUGGCCCAGGCAGACACACUGGACCGGAUCUCUAUGCCAUAUACAGAAGCUAAGGGAAGAUAGCUUCACGCUGGAAGUACAACCUUUACAGAAGCUUACAGAUUUUUUACACGUUCUUUGGA
ensembl:lncRNA